GAGGGUAUAGCUCAGUGGCAAAGUGCAUGCUUAGCAAGCACAAGGUCCUGGGCUCAAUCCCCAGUACCUCUA
rnacentral:tRNA from 1 species